GAUGAACGCUGGCGGCGUGCCUAAUACAUGCAAGUCGAGCGAACAGACGAGGAGCUUGCUCCUUUGACGUUAGCGGCGGACGGGUGAGUAACACGUGGGUAACCUACCUAUAAGACUGGGAUAACUUCGGGAAACCGGAGCUAAUACCGGAUAAUAUUUCGAACCGCAUGGUUCGAUAGUGAAAGAUGGCUUUGCUAUCACUUAUAGAUGGACCUGCGCCGUAUUAGCUAGUUGGUAAGGUAACGGCUUACCAAGGCAACGAUACGUAGCCGACCUGAGAGAGUGAUCGGCCACACUAGAACUGAGACACGGUCAAGACUCCUACGGGAGGCAGCAGUAGCGAAUCUUCCGCAAUGGGCGAAAGCCUGACGGAGCAACGCCGCGUGAGUGGUGAAGGUCUUCGGAUCGUAAAACUCUGUUAUUAGGGAAGAACAACCGUGUAAGUAAAUGUGCACGUCUUGACGGUACCUAAUCAGAAAGCCACGGCUAACUACGUG
rnacentral:rRNA from 1 species